GGGCGGGCGGCGGGUCCGCGGCCUGAGGUGCCGUGAGCGGCGGUCGUUCCGCGCCUCCUGAGCGCGGAUAUCGGGGUCCCCAGGAGCCGAUCGGGGUCCCCAGGAGCCGAUCGGGGUCCCCAGGGGCCGAUCGGGGCCCUCGGUCCGUGCCCCGCCGUGGGGCGGGCGGCUGGCGUGGGAGCGUUGAGGCGCAGCGGGGCCUGCGAGGCCGCAGCCCGUGGUGAGAAUGAACAUUCUUCAUGUCUGCAGAGGUUCUCCACCACCACAGGGGCUAGAGGUAAAUAGCCAGAACUCUCCAGAGCAGCAGGCAGAGAGGCAUCAGCAACAUGACCCUUGGGCUUUCUGGAAUUGCAGGGAAACCCUCUUCUCUCCAAGUACCAAGCCAUGUGCCAAGAAUAUUCAGACAGGAUUGCUGCCUCAGGAGCUGCCCAGGUGGGAACUCCAAGUGCCCUGAGCCAGAGCUCAUGUCAAAAGGAGGGGAAAGACUUUGCAAUAGAAUAACAGAAGACUCCACCAACACUUGAAGACAGGGGAGGGUGGAGGGGCAGGGGAAGUGCUCAGCACUGUUCUGCCUCCACAAAGCCCUCCUUCUCCUGGCUGCCUGGCUCCACCUCCGAGUAGCUUGUGUGGUUGGUGUGGUUCCGGAAUUUCAUGGCAGGCCAGUGAUGGGGCCUUCUCUGUGGAGAGAAACAAAGACCCAUCAGAAGCUGGGACAGGGACCUUCACACCACUCCUGCAGGGAGACUGGGAUCUUAGUCCCAAGAGAAAAACAAUGCUGCCUUUGUGGGAGGUCGACUUUUUCUUAAUAAAAAUACAAUUUUAAGUGUUCA